AGAGUGAGUGCCGUUUCGUUCUUUGCUUCGCGCAUUAUAUACACGUAAGCACAGCAGCUUGCUGCUCCUACUGAAAUUCACAACAGCAUAAGCAAAGUUCAUGGAUUUGGUUCACAAGGUGUUGAACAUUCUACUUCCUCCUAUAAGUACCAUCCUGCUCCUAUGUUUCUUCCCACUCUAUCUUGUAUUCAAGUUUCUUUAUUACAUAAAAAGGCAUAUAUUCAGCGAAAAUGUGUCUGGAAAAGUGGUGCUCAUCACAGGAGCAGCCUCAGGAAUUGGCGAGGUAAGAUUUUUUAUCUACUUACACAAAUGAAUCCAUCGUCAGCUUAGAAAUUAAUUUCUUGGUGAAUGGGUAUCUUUAUUUAUCUAUUAUGGUGUUUUCUUGUCAAUUUAAAGCAAAUUAGCUAUGAGUACGCUAAGAGAGGAGCUUGUUUAGUCUUGGUUGACAUAAAAGAGGAUCGUCUUGGAGCAGUUGUUGAGAAGGCGCGAAAUCUUGGCUCCCCAGAUGUCAUAGCAGUCGGUGCAGAUGUUUCUAAGGUGGAAGAUUCUGAGAGAUUUGUUCGUGUAGCAGUGGACCAUUUUGGUAGAUGUAUGUGCUCUUGUUCUUGGACCUCUCUUUUUUUUCUCCCUAAUUUUUUUUUUAACUCCAUAUUCAUUCGAAAUUCUGGGUAUGUUGGGGCUGGUGCAAAAGUGGAUCAUCUGGUGAACAAUGCUGGAAUUAUAGUAUCAGGCCAAUUAAAGGACACGAAAAAUUUACUACCUCGUCGAGUUAUGGUAAUGAUCAGUUAGAAUAAUUAGAGAAGAUACUACUUCAAUCUUUUCGUUUGAAUUUGGCUUUUUUAUAUGUACAAUCUCCUCCCAAUAGAUAAUUCACCAUAACACAGAAAUAAUCAAGUAUGUCUUCUUAUUUAAUGGAGGAAGUAAUUAAAUGAGAAUAUAUUUGUCCAAUCUUAUUUAAGGCAUUUUUAUAAGAUGAAUUGUGGAUUAAUUCAUAGUGUUAUUGAGUGCUUAAAUUAAUGUACAGGACGUAAACUUUUGGGGUACAAUUUACAGCACCCAUUUUGCCCUCCCACAUCUAACGAAGAGCAAAGGCAAAAUCAUUGUGAUUGCGUCAACUCUGGGAUGGUACCCUGCUCCGAAGCUGGGUUUCUAUGUUGUAAGCCAUUUAACUAGUAUCCAUUAAUAUCUUAUAUUUUUGCUUUGAUUCAUCAUAGCAAUUCCUUUCGACUCCAGGCAAGCAAAGCAGCAGUAAUAAACUUCUAUGAGUCCCUGAGAAGUGAAAUUGGUGGGGAUGUUGGCAUUACAAUUGUAACUCCUGGCCUCAUAAAGUCGGAAAUGACUGAUAACCUGGCAAAAAAGGUAAUUGAUAAUCCUAUUAUUUGUGCAUAGAGAUGAAUCUUGAAAAUUAUGAAUUAUGUAAAUGUAGGAAAAAGUAGAUUUGAUUAUUCCGUUAGAGUCUAAAGAGGCAUGUGCAAAGGCAAUAGUGAAAAGUGGCUGCCGUGGAGAUAAGUACUUGGUGGAGCCAUCAUGGAUUAGGGUGCUGUAUCCGUGCAAGGUUCUGUAUCCUGAGGUGGUGGAGUUUUGCAACCACUGGGCUAUUUACAGAAGGCAAGUGGCUUCAGAGAACAGCUUAGCCCAAUCUCCUCAGCCCAAGAUAGAAUGAGCCUGUCCACUAAAGAAGUGGGACUCCCAACUUUGUCCAUUAAUAAUUUCAUUUGCGUUCGUUUUUCCUCUCUUUGUUGUUGUUUUAGCUAGAACUGUCUAAUUUUGUAAAAUUGACAAGAGUUAGCUGCAGAUUGGUCAUUAAAAGCAGCCCUAGUUAUAAUUAACCUGUCUCCAGGAUUGGCUGUGCUGUGUAAUCCUCCGCAUCAACUCCUGACUAUUUUGUGUUUUACUUUAUGGAUGUCUUUUCAAAGACUUGUUUUAAUAAAGUUUCUCUUCAGUUUAAAAAAAAUAUUAAUA
rnacentral:misc_RNA from 1 species